rnacentral:lncRNA from 1 species
CUAUGAGCAGUUGCUCGAUGGAAACAGUGACAUUAUUAUUUGUAUUUUUCAGGUGGAGAGACUGAGGUCCCACUGUGUAUUCUGUGUCUUGUAGACAGUUGGAGCCCAGAUCCAGAGCCCCUGGGUGUUGCCCCAAAAGAUCACGCUACUUAUCUGUGGAAGACUCCUUUUCAUUUUCUUUUUAGACACAGGCAAUUGUGGAAAUGGACCCCACAUAAGAAAACAAGAAAAGCCGAUCAGAACAGGAGGAAAAACAGGCUGCUGUAGGGCACACAGACCAAGAGGGAGGAAGUGUCCAAAGCUGUCGGAUGCGACGGAGAAGUCGGCUUAGGUAAGGAGCCCAGAGUGAUUGAGGGAGAUUGUGUGUGUGGUCUGGCCGCCUUUGUCUGCC